AAGCCUAUGAUGAUUGUUCUUCUUUUAGUUGGAAUUACCGGCUGAAUUUUAUUUUGAUGUCAAUUUGACUGGCUGUAUGUCUGAGGCUUCAU